UUUGGUGGUGAUUGCGUAGGGGAGACACCUCUUCCCAUUCCGAACAGAGAAGUUAAGUCCUAUUGCGCCAAUGGUACUCCGCGGGCAACUGCGUGGGAGAGUAGGUAGCCGCCAAGU
rnacentral:rRNA from 1 species